rnacentral:rRNA from 1 species
GUUUGAUCCUGGCUCAGGAUGAACGCUAGCGGCAGGCCUAAUACAUGCAAGUCGAACGAGAGAAGGGAGCUUGCUCCCCGAUCUAGUGGCGCACGGGUGCGUAACGCGUAUGCAACCUACCUUAAUCAGGGGGAUAGCCUCUCGAAAGAGAGAUUAACACCGCAUAAAAUCACAGUCCGGCAUCGGAUAAUGAUCAAAUAUUUAUAGGAUUAAGAUGGGCAUGCGUGACAUUAGUUUGUUGGUGAGGUAACGGCUCACCAAGACUACGAUGUCUAGGGGAUCUGAGAGGAUGACCCCCCACACUGGUACUGAGACACGGACCAGACUCCUACGGGAGGCAGCAGUAAGGAAUAUUGGUCAAUGGGGGCAACCCUGAACCAGCCAUGCCGCGUGCAGGAAGACAGCCCUAUGGGUCGUAAGCUGCUUUUAUUGGGGAAUAACCUCCUGUAUGUAUACAGGACUGAAUGUACCCAAGGAAUAAGGAUCGGCUAACUCCGUGCCAGCAGCCGCGGUAAUACGGAGGAUCCAAGCGUUAUCCGGAUUUAUUGGGUUUAAAGGGUGCGUAGGCGGCCUAUUAAGUCAGGGGUGAAAGACGGUGGCUCAACCAUCGCAGUGCCUUUGAUACUGAUGGGCUUGAUUGCAGCUGAGGUAGGCGGAAUGUGACAAGUAGCGGUGAAAUGCAUAGAUAUGUCACAGAACACCGAUUGCGAAGGCAGCUUACUAAAGUGUAAAUGACGCUGAGGCACGAAAGCGUGGGGAUCAAACAGGAUUAGAUACCCUGGUAGUCCACGCCCUAAACGAUGAAUACUCGAUGUUAGCGAUAUACAGUUAGCGUCUAAGCGAAAGCGUUAAGUAUUCCACCUGGGGAGUACGCCCGCAAGGGUGAAACUCAAAGGAAUUGACG